rnacentral:SRP_RNA from 1 species
UCUGGGCUUGGUGGUGUGUGCCUGUAGUCCCAGCUACUCCAGAGGCUGAGGUGGAAGGAUGGCUUGAGCCCAGGAGUUCUGGGCUGUAGUGCGCUAUGCCGAUCAGGUGUCCGCACUAAGUUUGGCAUCAAUAUGGUGACCUCCUGGGAGCAGGGGACCUCACCAGGUUGCCUAAGGAGGGGUGAACCGGCCCAGGUCAGACAUGGAGCAGGUCAAAACUCCCGUGCUGAUCAGUAGUGGGAUCGUGCCUGUGAAUAGCCACUGCACUCCAGCCUGGGCUACAUAAUGAGACCCAUCUCU